rnacentral:lncRNA from 1 species
AUGAAUAAGAGAAGAGCUGCUACUGUUCUCGUAAUAAGAACAAGGCAAGAUCCAUCUAGGAUCCACGUAAAUCGAGGGCAGCCAUUGAGACCUGAGGUAUUCCGACCUGAUAAGAAGCCAGAGAAACAAGCAAAACACUCAAGGUGGGUUGGAGGCAAGGGCAGGUGGAAACGUCUUCUGCACUUGUCUAUGGAAGAGCUUUGUUCCAUACACAGUUCUCUCAUCACCACGAGCUCGCCAUCUACGGCGGCCUCUGUCCGGAAACCUGCCACGCAUACCGUCCGCUGGGACACCUGGAGGAAAACAAAGCAAAGCCACCACAGUGGUCUGCUCCUGCUCUCUAGGGACGGCCACACGGCUUUGCCCCGAGCCCGCCGAGAACUCCAACCACUCAGACAUCUCUUAUUGAAAGUCAUGAAGUAUUGCAGAUACCCUGGCAUAACAAUCACCACGGCGCCAACACCCAGCUCAAGAAAUAGAACAUUACAGUUGAAGUUACCUACAAGCUUUGCCUCUCCCUUCUCUCCUACCUACUCAAAGCACACAUAUGCCCCUGCUGAAAUGAGCCACCAUCUUGAGUUUGGGGUUCUUCAUUCUCCAUAG